UGCCGACCGGGGUAUAUAGCUUUGUCUGAGGGAUAGCGUUAGUGUUUGAGUAACGGGCAUGAAGGUCCUGGCUUUGAUCCCCAUAUAGCAGAAGCCUAGCAGCAGGCCAGCCCAACCCCACCUGCUCUUUAUUACUUUUCUUCACCCUGUUGUUGAUCAUCUUCGUGGCUGAAAUUGCAGCGGCUGUGCUCACGUUCGUGUUCAAGGCGGAGGCUGCUGACAUUUUUAAAGAUCUUGAUGACACAAUUGUUAAAAACUUUGAAAAAAGUCCUGCAGGUACCCUGUCCCCUGUCUUGUAUGCCACCAUGUACGAUUUAUAAUGCUGUGGAUACCAUAAUUACACUAACUUCCACAACGUGACCAAAUACCAUCCCCCGUUUGGUUUGUGAAUCACAUGCGUCAUGACAAGAUUAUCCAGCUGUUAAAGGACAACGCUGCGAUCAUCGGAGGAGUGGUGGCGUGGAUUGCUCUCAUUGAGUGGGGGAACCGGGGAGCAGAGAGAGAGGCAGGGGCGAUCACCACCAGAGAUCGCCUGGAACGCAUCCUGUGACCGCUUGGAGCGGAGUUAUGAUUUACGUGCAAGGAAUUAUGUUUUGUUGGACUGAGCGAUCUAAAUAAAAGGACUUUUCUGUUGGAAAAAGCAAACCUGGUGUCCAAGCGCUCUGUGAACCUGCUACAGUAUGUCUAUGCGAAAGAUAUUUGCUAUAUUACAUCUAAAAAAAAAAAAAAUGCGCUAAGUGCAUAGGUGUUGCCAGG
ensembl:lncRNA